ensembl:lncRNA
CACAAUCUGCGGUCUAUUCCAGCCUUAUAUUCGUUAAGACAAAGAGAACUGCACAUUGAUAACAUCUCAUGGCAGGCCAGGCCGCCUGCACCUGUUUCCGAUCACUCAGCCGGUCAGCGGACUGCCCACAAGACGGCAUUAUGAGGUCUACACGACUGAGCGGGUUUCCUCCCCAUCUGCCAUUUGUUGGAGCAACUGAAAGUUUUGCCCUAAACUCACACCGUUGGUUGGGCCAGUGCAGCUUUGGAGGUCCGAUGCAUAAUCAAAUGAUUAAUGAUAUGAGAAAAUUUCAUAAUCAUUCCAGGGAGAGAUUCAUUUACCAGGAAAAGAUAACCCAAGUUUGAAUUAUACGCAAAAUGUGUAACCAGAAAAAUUUAAAUAUUGUUUUAUGUACUCCAAAAACUUUUUUAUUUACAACUUAAAAAAAUAUACAUACUUUCCAAUACAAGAAUACAAAAUUAUCAGUGAUACAUCUGUGAUACAUGACAUGAAAAAGCUUUGUUCUCCUUUAUCAGAGGAAGUUAUUCGGUCCCACUUUAUAUUAAGUGGCCUUAAAUGGAUACUCCACCCAAAAAUGAAAAUUUUGUCAUUAAUCACUUACCCUCAUGUCGUUCCAAACCCAUUAAAGCUUUGUUCAUCUUCGUAACACAAUUUAAGAUAUUUUGGAUGAAAACCGGGAGGCUUGUGACUGUCCCAUUGACUGCCAAAUAAAUAACAGUGUC